rnacentral:rRNA from 1 species
UACGUAGGGGGCCAGCGUUGUCCGGAUUCAUUGGGCGUAAAGCGCGUGUAGGCGGCCAGGUAGGUCCGAUGUGAAAUCUGGAGGCUCAACCUCCAGCGGUCAUUGGAAACCAUCUGGCUAGAGUCCGGAAGAGGAGAGUGGAAUUCCUGGUGUAGCGGUGAAAUGCGCAGAUAUCAGGAAGAACACCAGUGGCGAAGGCGGCUCACUGGCCCGGUACUGACGCUGAGGUGCGAAAGCGUGGGGAGCAAACAGG